rnacentral:rRNA from 1 species
GACGAACGCUGGCGGCGUGCUUAACACAUGCAAGUCGAACGGAAAGGCCCUGCUUUUGUGGGGUGCUCGAGUGGCGAACGGGUGAGUAACACGUGAGUAACCUGCCCUUGACUUUGGGAUAACUUCAGGAAACUGGGGCUAAUACCGGAUAGGAGCUCCUGCUGCAUGGUGGGGGUUGGAAAGUUUCGGCGGUUGGGGAUGGACUCGCGGCUUAUCAGCUUGUUGGUGGGGUAGUGGCUUACCAAGGCUUUGACGGGUAGCCGGCCUGAGAGGGUGACCGGCCACAUGGGGACUGGGAUACGGCCCAGACUCCUACGGGGGGCAGGAGGGGGGAAUAUUGCACAAGGGGGGGAAGCCUGAGGCAGCAACGCCGCGGGCGGGAUGACGGCCUUCGGGUUGUAAACCGCUUUCGCCUGUGACGAAGCGGGAGGGGCGGUAAUGGGAAAAGAAGCACCGGCUAACUACGU